GGCGGCGUGCUUAACACAUGCAAGUCGAGUGCGCGUCUGUAGCAAUACAGAUGGCGCACGGCGCACGGGUGCGUAACACGUGGGUAAUCUGCCCUUCGAUGGGGAAUAACUCCGGGAAACCGAAGCUAAUUCCGCAUAACAUUCCUUGAACCUCGGUUUGAGGACUCAAAGCCGUAAGGCGUCGGAGGAGGAACCCGCGCACGAUUAGCUAGUUGGUAGGGUAACGGCCUACCAAGGCUUUGAUCGUUAGCUGGUCUGAGAGGAUGGCCAGCCACACUGGAACUGAGACACGGUCCANACUCCUACGGGAGGCAGCAAUGGGGAAUCUUGCACAAUGGGCGAAAGCCUGAUGCAGCGACGCCGCGUGGGGGAUGAAGCUUUUCGGAGUGUAAACCCCUUUCGACCUGGACGAAUGCCCGCAAGGGUUUGACGGUACANGUAUAANAAGCCCCGGCUAACUACGUGCCA
rnacentral:rRNA from 1 species